rnacentral:antisense_RNA from 1 species
UCUUAUGGCGACUGUGCGUGGGGCAUCUUCGGAUGCGCCGGGUUCCUGAAACCGGUCCGUCAACCUGCGUACAGUUGCCACCCAA